rnacentral:hammerhead_ribozyme from 1 species
AUCCAGGUGGCGAGUACCAAACAGGACGAAAUGCGCAUCCUGGAU